GACGAACGCUGGCGGCGUGCUUAACACAUGCAAGUCGAACGGAAAGGCCCUGCUUUUGUGGGGUGCUCGAGUGGCGAACGGGUGAGUAACACGUGAGUAACCUGCCCUUGACUUUGGGAUAACUUCAGGAAACUGGGGCUAAUACCGGAUAGGAGCUCCUGCUGCAUGGUGGGGGUUGGAAAGUUUCGGCGGUUGGGGAUGGACUCGCGGCUUAUCAGCUUGUUGGUGGGGUAGUGGCUUACCAAGGCUAUGACGGGUAGCCGGCCUGUGAGGGUGACCGGCCACACUGGGACUGAGGGACGGCACCGACUCCUACGGGAGGCAGCAGUGGGGAAGAUUGCACAAUGGGCGGAAGCCUGAUGCAGCAACGCCGCGUGCGGUAUGACGGCCUUCGGGUUGUAAACCGCUUGCGCCUGUGACGAAGCGUGAGUGACGGUAAUGGGUAAAGAAGCACCGGCUAACUACGUG
rnacentral:rRNA from 1 species